rnacentral:rRNA from 1 species
ACCUGACCCCAUGCCGAACUCAGAAGUGAAACGCCGUAACGCCGAUGGUAGUGUGGGGUCUCCCCAUGUGAGAGUAGGUCACCGCCAGGU